GACGAACGCUGGCGGCGUGCUUAACACAUGCAAGUCGAACGGAAAGGCCCUGCUUUUGUGGGGUGCUCGAGUGGCGAACGGGUGAGUAACACGUGAGUAACCUGCCCUUGACUUUGGGAUAACUUCAGGAAACUGGGGCUAAUACCGGAUAGGAGCUCCUGCUGCAUGGUGGGGGUUGGAAAGUUUCGGCGGUUGGGGAUGGACUCGCGGCUUAUCAGCUUGUUGGUGGGGUAGUGGCUUACCAAGGCUUGACGGGUAGCCGGCCUGAGAGGGUGACCGGCCACAUUGGGACUGAGAUACGGCCCAGACUCCUACGGGAGGCAGCAGUGGGGAAUAUUGCACAAUGGGCGGAGGCCUGAUGCAGCAACGCCGCGUGCGGGAUGACGGCCUUCGGGUUGUAAACCGCUUUCGCCUGUGACGAAGCGUGAGUGACGGUAAUGGGUAAAGAAGCACCGGCUAACUACGUG
rnacentral:rRNA from 1 species